GAUCAUCAAGACGACGUUCGAUAAGUCUCAUAAUCCAGCAGUGACAUCUAGCAGUAUGUAGUGGCAACUCAGUAGAAUAAAAGUAUGAAUUCCUGAGUGUAGUUAUCGUGUGAUUUAGUCCUUUUAUUAUGAGUCUCAACUUGAUGGAGGUCAUGAAAAACUCACCAGACCCCAUCAUCGAUCAUAUACCAGAUUAGCUCGAUUCGGGUUCAUUUGUGAAUCUCGUGAAAAUUCUUUUUCAGUAUUCAUACUUGCUUUGGCCCAAGAAUUUCUGAACUCAGUCUCGCAAAUCAUAUAAAAAUUCUCUUUUCUAUCA
rnacentral:lncRNA from 1 species